GCGGCCACCUGCCUUGCUGUGGUCCUAUCCUUUUCAUCUCUCCCUUUCAGCCUUUUCUCUGUGCCUCGGGAGGGGGUGUGACUCAGCCCACGCGAGCAUCAUGGCGUCGCGCAUCGGACUGCGGAUGCAGCUCAUGCGGGAGCAAGCCCAGCAAGAGGAGCAGCGGGAGCGGAUGCAGCAGCAGGCCAUGAUGCAUUACAUGCAGCAGCAGCAGAUGCCAAUAGCACCCACACCGGCCAUCAACACUCCAGUCCACUUCCAGUCACCGCCGUCUGUGCCAGGAGAGGUCCUAAAGGUUCAGUCAUAUCUGGAGAACCCCACCACGUACCACCUGCAGAAGUCGCGGGAUAAGAAGGUCCAGGAGUAUAUCUCCGAGACAUACGGGAACAAGUUUGCUGCUCACAUCAGCCCGAAGCCUCCCCCAGCUGCCUCGCCUGGGGUGAGGCCCAGCCAUGUCAUGUCAUCCUCAGCCGGCAACAGUGCUCCCAACAGCCCCAUGGCGAUGCUCAACAUUGGCUCCAACCCGGAGCGGGAGAUAGACGGGGUCAUUGAUGACAUCAUGCGUUUGGACGACGUUCUGGGCUACAUUAAUCCAGAAGUGCAAAUGCCUAACACCCUGCCGAUGUCCAGCAGUCACAUGAAUGUGUUUAGUGGUGACCCCCAGGUGACGGCCUCUCUGGUGGGUGUCACCAGCAGUUCCUGCCCUGCCAACCUCACUCAGAAGAGAGAAAUGACAGAUGCCGAGAGCCGUGCCCUGGCUAAAGAGCGUCAGAAGAAGGACAAUCACAACCUGAUUGAAAGAAGGCGAAGGUUUAACAUCAACGAUCGGAUUAAAGAACUUGGCAUGCUGAUCCCCAAAGCCAAUGACCUGGAUGUACGCUGGAACAAAGGGACCAUCUUGAAGGCCUCUGUUGACUACAUCAAGAGGAUGCAGAAGGACUUGCAGAAGUCACGGGAUCUGGAGAAUCACUCUCGGCGCCUGGAGAUGUUGAAUAAGCAGCUCUUGCUCCGCAUCCAGGAGCUGGAGAUGCAGGCUCGCAUCCAUGGGCUGCCAACCUCCUCGCCCUCUGGGGUGAAUGUGGCAGAACUGGCUCAGCAAGUUGUGAAGCAAGAGGCCAGCAGAGGAGAGGAUGGGUCAACAGAGCCUCAGCAGCAUCAACUACAUCCUGACCAGGAGACACAGCCACAGCCAUCCCUCCCGCCACCACCUCAGUCUCCUUACCAUCAGCUGGACUUUACCCAAAGCCUGAGCUUUGACAAUGGCCCCAGUGGGUUCCACGACCAGCUGGACCCUGGCCACAACGUCUCCUUCCCUUCUCUAUCCAAGAAAGAGCUGGACUUGAUGCUGAUGGAGGACACCAUGCUGCCCCUGGCUUCUGACCCUUUGUUCUCUGCCAUGUCUCCCGAGGCCUCCAAGACCAGCAGUCGCAGGAGCAGCUUCAGCAUGGAGGACACAGACAUGCUGUGACGAGGAGCCACUCAGACACUGGGGAAAAGGACUAGGAGUAAGGCCUGUUUGUGAAGAGACAUCCUCACCCAGGAGGCCCCUGAUCAGCACUUGAGUCUACACCUCUCAGUGCAAGGGUGGUAGCAUCUCAAAGGUUUGUUGGGAGAACAAGACCUUAGUUGCUAUAACUACAUCUUGCCAACGUGCCAUUGACUGAGCAGACCUCCUUGGCUUGCCGUGGCAUUACAGUGUUGAAUGCAGAUUGACAGCACCGCUCCAGAGAGCAGAUCCUCAGCUGCCUUGCUUUUCAGCUAAACUCCCUGCAAACCUCACACCCUGCAAGGGGUGGAGGCUGGAAACCAGUGUGAGGAGUCCCUCUGAAGGGAACAGGGGGGCUUUGAUGCUCAGAGCUUCCCUCUGUGAUUGUGCAUCCAUCCAGGCUUCGGCACAGGAACCUGUGCCCCCUCAAAGUCUUCCCAAGCCCUGAAUGCUGUUCCCUGCUGCUGCUGCUGGCAAUGGCUGCCUUGUGGCGCCGUCCCACGUUGGGAUUCCUCUUCCCUUCCCAAGCAGGGAUGCCUGGUAUAUCUGAGGGGAGGGCCUGGUGCUCUUGGUCACCAGGGUGCCUGGAGGCACAUUUCUCAAGGUGUAUUGGGUAAGAAAUCGGGAGGGAGAGGAGGGGAUUGAUCUGAGCAAAUUCUCUAGUGGUCACUGGGGGUGGGGGUGGGGGUGGGGGUACGUUUUCAAAGUUGGGAGCCCUGACUUUGAGAACAUACCUGUGAUGACUGCCAAGGUACCGCUGUGCUGGGCCUAUCUCCAAUGAACCCCUAAAUCUCAAAGCGCCGUUUGGUGGAAGCCACCAACGUGCCUGAUUUACAAUGAGAAAUUGCUGAAGUUGUCUGACCCUGGCCUUUGGUUCUGCACCAUCACCGGUGGGUGCCCACCAUCUGGCAUUCAGUAAUGCCUAAUUUAGCUGGCACUCUCAAAUGUCACUUUAAGAUUUUGGGUUUCAUGUGAACUAAAACUUGGAGGGGUGGGAGGAUGGGAUGGGUGGGUUCAGGGGUGGGGAUGUGUGUGCAAACCUUCACGAUGAACCAAAACUGCAAACAGGCUUUUGCCUUCGUCCCUGUGCACUGAAACCCCUUGGUUUUGGGCAAGAAUCUCGCUCCCAUUAAACUGUCGCCAAAACCUAGCAAGCUAGAAGGCAACUCCUAACUUCUAAA